GUUUUAUAAUUCAGAUAUAAUAAAAUAUUAAUAACUGUGUUGAUACUCUGAUAUUUUUUCAUAACAAACAAUCUUAUCCAUGUAUCUAUAAUAUCGAAUUGAAGUUAGGGUCAUACCGUCUGUUAAACUACCCGUAACACUGAUUCCAGUAAUUAUUGAAAUAUGAGUUUUUAUUUGACAAAGGUAAUUGCUAACCUCCAGCCGAUUCAAAUUUGUUCUUGGUCAUUAACUCAGGAUAAUUGACAGUAAUCAAGGAGAAGUAUUGGUUUGUUUCAACAAUUCUAGACUGACUUAUAUUGAGGGUAGUACAGUUCAUUUGGAAGAAAAAAAUAUUUCAAUGCCCUUUGAUUGAUCUUUGAACUGGAGAAGGAAUCAUUUGAUUUCUUACUUUCUUACAAUUUUUGUUUCGGUGGUUUUGAUUUCCGUGACGAGAACACGCAACAUUGUAUAUAAUACUUUUACUGUGUUUUUCUUUCUUUAGAAGUCAUUAUGGAAGGUCCAACUCUUAUAAUAGUAACAAAAACAUAUUAAACCAAAAAAAAAAAAAACAAAAAAAAAAACCAUUUUAAUACAGGAUAAACAAAAAAUGCUUUAUUCAUUUAUGGUUACCUCAUGAGAUUGACUCAUAAACCCUGUGAUCAGGCCUGUUCUUAAUGACUACUCACUUAUAUAAUAUACAUGAAGGAAAAAAGUAAAAUAACAAAACUACCGUCCGUCAUGGAAAAUUCGAAGCGGAAAAAAAUGCAACAGUAGUAUACCACUGUUCAGGUCUCUUAACAAAUGGCAAAAUCAAAAGCUCAAACACAUCAAACGAAUUAAUUAUAUCAACAAACUUAUGCAAAAUUGCUAGGAGAAUAAAAGCAGGAUAAACGAGGUUUGCAUGUAAAUAGUACAUUUUCAACAGAUAUAUCAUGUUAAGGAGGGUUGCGAGAAAAAAAAACAGUCGAAAGAAUGUUAAAUUUCGCGAGCCGUAAGGCGAGGGAAAUUCAUUCUCAAGACUGGUAUUUUUUGCAAAUACCCCUCAAGAACAUGCAAUAUAUGUUUAAUUAUACCGAAUGUUAUCGUUCAAAAACGCAUUGAUGAUCGUGACGUUACAAGCGUCCAGCCGGAUAGAGUAUUUUUGGCAAAUACCACGACAGAGAGAGUGAAAUAGGCAUAUACUUUUUGCAUAUACCCCGGCGGCGUGAAAAAAUGAACAGUAAAUUGGUGAAAAAUACACUGGCUAUCAACCAAUUAAAACCCAGGAUUCUUAUAUAUGGUGUAAUUAAAGUAAAAACACUACCAGCGAGCGUUAUGAAAAAAAUAAGGGUCUGCCUUCUUUAUCCCUUAAGUAGUCAUUCUUAAAAUGAUAACUAAGCGAACUUACUUAAAACCAAAUUUUUUUUAUCAACAUUUUAUAGAUUGGUCUUUGGCAUUCCAGUUGAUCAUGAAACGAUUUCAACCGACCAAAGGUUUAAGUCAUCUUUGCAAGCUAUUAAAACAACAUAAUAACUGUCUUAUGAAGUUUAAUUUCGAAAUAUGCAAUUCCCACACUAGAUCUGUUUGAAUCAAUCUCUACUUUUGUGUUGUAAUCAUUUGAGUUUUUCUGCGAUUGCUUCCUGGGUCGAUGUCACUGCUGGUGGCGUGUUUAUAUCCGAGGGUAUCACCA
rnacentral:lncRNA from 1 species